rnacentral:rRNA from 1 species
ACAAGCGGUGGAUGAUGUGGAUUAAUUCGAUGCAACGCGAAGAACCUUACCUACCCUUGACAUGUCCGGAACUUGCCAGAGAUGGCUUGGUGCCCGAAAGGGAAUCGGAACACAGGUGCUGCAUGGCUGUCGUCAGCUCGUGUCGUGAGAUGUUGGGUUAAGUCCCGCAACGAGCGCAACCCUUGUCACUAGUUGCCAUCAUUUGGUUGGGCACUCUAGUGAGACUGCCGGUGACAAACCGGAGGAAGGUGGGGAUGACGUCAAGUCCUCAUGGCCCUUAUGGGUAGGGCUUCACACGUCAUACAAUGGUCGGUACAGAGGGUUGCCAAGCCGCGAGGCGGAGCCAAUCCCACAAAGCCGAUCGUAGUCCGGAUUGUUCUCUGCAACUCGAGAGCAUGAAGUCGGAAUCGCUAGUAAUCGCAGGUCAGCAUACUGCGGUGAAUACGUUCCCGGGUCUU